UAGGGAAUCUUCGGCAAUGGGGGGAACCCUGACCGAGCAACGCCGCGUGAGUGAAGAAGGUUUUCGGAUCGUAAAGCUCUGUUGUUAAGGAAGAACGAGUGUGAGAAUGGAAAGUUCAUACUGUGACGGUACUUAACCAGAAAGGGACGGCUAACUACGUGCCAGCAGCCGCGGUAAUACGUAGGUCCCGAGCGUUGUCCGGAUUUAUUGGGCGUAAAGCGAGCGCAGGCGGUUAGAUAAGUCCGAUGUGAAAGCCCCCGGCUCAACCGGGGAGGGUCAUUGGAAACUGGUUGACUUGAGUGCAGAAGAGGAGAGUGGAAUUCCAUGUGUAACGGUGAAAUGCGUAGAUAUAUGGAGGAACACCAGUGGCGAAGGCGACUCUCUGGUCUGUAACUGACGCUGAGGUUCGAAAGCGUGGGUAGCAAACAGG
rnacentral:rRNA from 1 species